UUAAGCGACUAAGCGUACACGGUGGAUGCCCUGGCAGUCAGAGGCGAUGAAGGACGUGCUAAUCUGCGAUAAGCGUCGGUAAGGUGAUAUGAACCGUUAUAACCGGCGAUUUCCGAAUGGGGAAACCCAGUGUGAUUCGUCACACUAUCAUUAACUGAAUCCAUAGGUUAAUGAGGCGAACCGGGGGAACUGAAACAUCUAAGUACCCCGAGGAAAAGAAAUCAACCGAGAUUCCCCCAGUAGCGGCGAGCGAACGGGGAGCAGCCCAGAGCCUGAAUCAGUGUGUGUGUUAGUGGAAGCGUCUGGAAAGGCGCGCGAUACAGGGUGACAGCCCCGUACACAAAAAUGCACAUGCUGUGAGCUCGAUGAGUAGGGCGGGACACGUGGUAUCCUGUCUGAAUAUGGGGGGACCAUCCUCCAAGGCUAAAUACUCCUGACUGACCGAUAGUGAACCAGUACCGUGAGGGAAAGGCGAAAAGAACCCCGGCGAGGGGAGUGAAAAAGAACCUGAAACCGUGUACGUACAAGCAGUGGGAGCACGCUUAGGCGUGUGACUGCGUACCUUUUGUAUAAUGGGUCAGCGACUUAUAUUCUGUAGCAAGGUUAACCGAAUAGGGGAGCCGAAGGGAAACCGAGUCUUAACUGGGCGUUAAGUUGCAGGGUAUAGACCCGAAACCCGGUGAUCUAGCCAUGGGCAGGUUGAAGGUUGGGUAACACUAACUGGAGGACCGAACCGACUAAUGUUGAAAAAUUAGCGGAUGACUUGUGGCUGGGGGUGAAAGGCCAAUCAAACCGGGAGAUAGCUGGUUCUCCCCGAAAGCUAUUUAGGUAGCGCCUCGUGAAUUCAUCUCCGGGGGUAGAGCACUGUUUCGGCAAGGGGGUCAUCCCGACUUACCAACCCGAUGCAAACUGCGAAUACCGGAGAAUGUUAUCACGGGAGACACACGGCGGGUGCUAACGUCCGUCGUGAAGAGGGAAACAACCCAGACCGCCAGCUAAGGUCCCAAAGUCAUGGUUAAGUGGGAAACGAUGUGGGAAGGCCCAGACAGCCAGGAUGUUGGCUUAGAAGCAGCCAUCAUUUAAAGAAAGCGUAAUAGCUCACUGGUCGAGUCGGCCUGCGCGGAAGAUGUAACGGGGCUAAACCAUGCACCGAAGCUGCGGCAGCGACGCUGAUGCGUUGUUGGGUAGGGGAGCGUUCUGUAAGCCUGCGAAGGUGUGCUGUGAGGCAUGCUGGAGGUAUCAGAAGUGCGAAUGCUGACAUAAGUAACGAUAAAGCGGGUGAAAAGCCCGCUCGCCGGAAGACCAAGGGUUCCUGUCCAACGUUAAUCGGGGCAGGGUGAGUCGACCCCUAAGGCGAGGCCGAAAGGCGUAGUCGAUGGGAAACAGGUUAAUAUUCCUGUACUUGGUGUUACUGCGAAGGGGGGACGGAGAAGGCUAUGUUGGCCGGGCGACGGUUGUCCCGGUUUAAGCGUGUAGGCUGGUUUUCCAGGCAAAUCCGGAAAAUCAAGGCUGAGGCGUGAUGACGAGGCACUACGGUGCUGAAGCAACAAAUGCCCUGCUUCCAGGAAAAGCCUCUAAGCAUCAGGUAACAUCAAAUCGUACCCCAAACCGACACAGGUGGUCAGGUAGAGAAUACCAAGGCGCUUGAGAGAACUCGGGUGAAGGAACUAGGCAAAAUGGUGCCGUAACUUCGGGAGAAGGCACGCUGAUAUGUAGGUGAAGUCCCUCGCGGAUGGAGCUGAAAUCAGUCGAAGAUACCAGCUGGCUGCAACUGUUUAUUAAAAACACAGCACUGUGCAAACACGAAAGUGGACGUAUACGGUGUGACGCCUGCCCGGUGCCGGAAGGUUAAUUGAUGGGGUUAGCGCAAGCGAAGCUCUUGAUCGAAGCCCCGGUAAACGGCGGCCGUAACUAUAACGGUCCUAAGGUAGCGAAAUUCCUUGUCGGGUAAGUUCCGACCUGCACGAAUGGCGUAAUGAUGGCCAGGCUGUCUCCACCCGAGACUCAGUGAAAUUGAACUCGCUGUGAAGAUGCAGUGUACCCGCGGCAAGACGGAAAGACCCCGUGAACCUUUACUAUAGCUUGACACUGAACAUUGAGCCUUGAUGUGUAGGAUAGGUGGGAGGCUUUGAAGUGUGGACGCCAGUCUGCAUGGAGCCGACCUUGAAAUACCACCCUUUAAUGUUUGAUGUUCUAACGU
rnacentral:rRNA from 1 species